rnacentral:rRNA from 1 species
AUGUGGACCUGUCUUCGUCAGCGCUAUGAGCCCUCUGGUGAUGCCUUAUACCUUUCUGUGGUUCGUCAGGAGCAUGCUCUUCAGCAGGGUGACUCUACUGUUGAUGACUUCUAUGCACAGAGUUCUGCUAUCUGGCGCCAGCUUGAUUCUCUCCGCAGUGCUGGUUGUCGUACUUUCCCCUGUUGCCAGGCUGUCCAGGCCAAUUUGGAGUUUCAUCGCGUCUACGAGUUCCUGUCUCGGCUCCGUAAGGAGUUUGAGCCCCGGCGUGCUCAGUUGUUUGCUCGUGGCCGUAUUUCUCUCAUGGAGGCGCUUUCAGAGAUUCGUGCUGAGGAGACUCGCUUACGUGGUGCUGGUUUGCUGGAGGUUCCCUCUGUGCUCGCUACUCGGGCUUCUUCCACUCCAACUGCUGCACCGACCCCUUCUCGCUCGAGUGCUCCGCCGCUCUUGCCCACUCCUUCUGGAGGCUCAGGACGCCCCCGUUCACAUUGUGACUACUGCAACAAUGAUGGUCAUAUUGAGUCCCAGUGCUACACAAAGCGGAAACACCUACGCAAGGCGCGAUCAUCAUCCUCAGGGACUUCGUCA